GCAGAUCGGUGGUUUUGUGGUUGGGUUCGCCGGCGAGGGAGUAGUGAAGGGUGGUGGUUGUGGAUUUCCGGCAGUUUGCAGUGGAUGAGGAAAUGAAGAAGAAGAACAGUGGUGUCUUUUUUUCUUUCGUUUUCCUUUCUCUCUUUUUUUAGUUUAUUUUUUAGCAGAAAAAAAAAGUGAUUAUUGAGUGUGUUGGAGAGAGUAUCUGUUGUAUCUUUUAUUACUUUUUCUUUU
rnacentral:lncRNA from 1 species